rnacentral:rRNA from 1 species
CCGCGGGAUUAGAGUUUGAUCCUGGCUCAGAUUGAACGCUGGCGGCAUGCCUUACACAUGCAAGUCGAACGGCAGCGCGGGGCAACCUGGCGGCGAGUGGCGAACGGGUGAGUAAUAUAUCGGAACGUACCCUGGAGUGGGGGAUAACGUAGCGAAAGUUACGCUAAUACCGCAUACGAUCUACGGAUGAAAGUGGGGGAUCGCAAGACCUCAUGCUCGUGGAGCGGCCGAUAUCUGAUUAGCUAGUUGGUGGGGUAAAGGCCUACCAAGGCAACGAUCAGUAGCUGGUCUGAGAGGACGACCAGCCACACUGGAACUGAGACACGGUCCAGACUCCUACGGGAGGCAGCAGUGGGGAAUUUUGGACAAUGGGGGCAACCCUGAUCCAGCAAUGCCGCGUGUGUGAAGAAGGCCUUCGGGUUGUAAAGCACUUUUGUCAGGAACGAAACGGUGGUUUCUAAUACAGAUCACUAAUGACGGUACCUGAAGAAUAAGCACCGGCUAACUACGUGCCAGCAGCCGCGGUAAUACGUAGGGUGCAAGCGUUAAUCGGAAUUACUGGGCGUAAAGCGUGCGCAGGCGGUUUUGUAAGUCUGAUGUGAAAUCCCCGGGCUCAACCUGGGAAUUGCAUUGGAGACUGCAAGGCUAGAAUCUGGCAGAGGGGGGUAGAAUUCCACGUGUAGCAGUGAAAUGCGUAGAGAUGUGGAGGAACACCGAUGGCGAAGGCAGCCCCCUGGGCUAAGAUUGACGCUCAUGCACGAAAGCGU